AGUGAACGCUGGCGGUAGGCCUAACACAUGCAAGUCGAACGGCAGCACAGUAAGAGCUUGCUCUUACGGGUGGCGAGUGGCGGACGGGUGAGGAAUACAUCGGAAUCUACUUUUUCGUGGGGGAUAACGUAGGGAAACUUACGCUAAUACCGCAUACGACCUACGGGUGAAAGCAGGGGAUCUUCGGACCUUGCGCGAUUGAAUGAGCCGAUGUCGGAUUAGCUAGUUGGCGGGGGAAAGGCCCACCAAGGCGACGAUCCGUAGCUGGUCUGAGAGGAUGUUCUGCCACACUGGAACUGAGACACGGUCCAGACUCCUACGGGAGGCAGCAGUGGGGAAUAUUGGACAAUGGGCGCAAGCCUGAGCCAGCCAUACCGCGUGGGUGAAGAAGGCCUUCGGGUUUUAAAGCCCUUUUGUUGGGAAAGAAAAGCAGCAGGUUAAUACCCCGCUGUUCUGACGGUACCCAAAGAAUAAGCACCGGCUAACUUCGUG
rnacentral:rRNA from 1 species